rnacentral:rRNA from 1 species
CAGCCGCGGUAAUUCCAGCUCCAAUAGCGUAUAUUAAAGUUGUUGCAGUUAAAAAGCUCGUAGUUGAAUUUCGGGAUCAAUAUAUCGGUCGUGCCAUCGGUACGUACUGGUAUCAUUGGUUUCUCCUUUCUGACGAACCAUGAUGUCAUUAAUUUGGUGUUAUGGGAAGUUAGGACUGUUACUUUGAAAAAAUUAGAGUGUUUAAAGCAGGCUUUAGCUUGAAUACAUUAGCAUGGAAUAAUGAAAUAGGACGUUCGAACCUAUUUUGUUGGUUUCUAGGAUCAACGUAAUGAUUAAUAGGGAUAGUUGGGGGCAUUAGUAUUCAAUUGUCAGAGGUGAAAUUCUUGGAUUUAUUGAAGACUAACUACUGCGAAAGCAUUUGCCAAGGAUGUUUUCAUUAAUCAAGAACGAAAGUUAGGGAUCGAAGACGAUCAGAUACCGUCGUAGUCUUAACCAUAACUAUGCCGACUAGGGAUCGGAUGAUGUUAAUUUUAUAAUGACUCAUUUGGCACCUUACGGGAAAC